UCAUUAUUGAAUGAACUUGGUGUGGUUGUUGCUGGCCCUUUUGGGGGCAUGUGCACACCCACCAUCCUCAUCUCUCCACCUGUGCACCUCUUGUAGACCUGGGAUAGAUUUUCCGAGGCAACUCGGUCUGGAGGAAUGCUGCCCUAAGCUUUCUUUGUAUUUCCUGGUCUAUGUUUUUCAUAUACCCGAUAGCAUGUAACAGAAUGUAUCAUUUGGGCGCUUGUGCCCUAUAAACCUUAUACAACUUUCAGCAACGGAUCUCUUGGCUCUCGCAUCGAUGAAGAACGCAGCGAAAUGCGAUAAGUAAUGUGAAUUGCAGAAUUCAGUGAAUCAUCGAAUCUUUGAACGCACCUUGCGCUCCUUGGUAUUCCGAGGAGCAUGCCUGUUUGAGUGUCAUUAAAUUCUCAACCUUAUCAGUUUAUUUCUGAUAGUGGCUUGGAUGUGGGGUUGCUGGCUUGGUCAGCUCCCCUUAAAUGCAUUAGCUGGUGCCCUGUGUACUUGGUGUGAUAAUUAUCUACGCCAUGGAUUAG
rnacentral:rRNA from 1 species